rnacentral:rRNA from 1 species
UACGAACUGUGCGAACGUUAUUCGGAAUCACUGGGCUUACAGGGUGCGUUGGCGGCUUGUUAAGUCGGGUGUGAAAGCCCCCGGCUCAACCGGGGAAUGGCGCCCUAAACUGGCGAGCUAGAGUGAGAUAGGGGUGUGUGGAACUUCCGGUGGAGCGGUGAAAUGUGUUGAUAUCGGAAGGAACGCCGGUGGCGAAAGCGACACACUGGAUCUUGUCUGACGCUGAGGCACGAAAGCCAGGGGAGCGAACGGG